rnacentral:rRNA from 1 species
GAUGAACGCUGGCGGCGUGCCUCCCCCCUGCACGUCGACCGCAGCUUGACGGAUGAUUUCUUCGGAAUGAAACCAGAUAUGACUUAGUGGCGGACGGGUGAGUAACACGUGAGCAACCUGCCUAUCAGAGGGGGAUAACGGCUGGAAACGGUCGCUAAUACCGCAUGAUGUGUUCGGAUGGCAUCAUCUGAACAUCAAAGAUUUAUCGCUGAAAGAUGGGCUCGCGUCUGAUUAGAUAGUUGGUGGGGUAACGGCCUACCAAGUCUACGAUCAGUAGCCGGACGGAAAGGUUGAACGGCCACAUUGGCAAUGAGAUACGGCCCAGACUCCUACUGGAGGCAGCAGUGGGGAAUAUUGCAGAAUGGGGGAAACCCUGAUGCAGGAACGCCGCGUGAAGAAUGACGUGUUUCGGAUUGUAAACUCCUUUUCUUAGUGACGAAGACAGUGACGGUAGCUAAGGAAUAAGCAUCGGCUAACUACGUG